CGUCAGCUGCUGAAGGUGAAGAAUUCGUCUUCUGACGCGACAGUCUCCUGGGCCAAUCAGAGGCAGCCCGUGUGGGGAAAGGCUCCAGUGCGCCCUGCUGGGGAGCAGCGGCGAGGUAGCACCUGGCAGAGGUGACUUGCUCUGAGGAGCGGCGGUUCCUUCCACCAAUCGGAACGUGCAGAGUUGGGGAGCCGGCCAAUCAGGCGCGGAGGGCGGGGCCGGGCGGGGCUCCACCUGGCGGCUGGCUCUUAGUCCCCGCGCUGCAGUCUGAGGAGCUGUGUCUGUUCCCCGGAGUCAGUCGGCGGCUGUUGUAUCGUAUCGGGAUCCUGGUCGCGAUGGGGACGAAGGCGCAAGCCGAGAGGAAACUGUUGCGCCUCUUCGUUUUGGAGAUCCUGUUGUGCUCCCUGGCAUUGGGCAGUGGUACAGUGCACACUUCUGAACCUGAAGUCAGAAUUCCUGAGAAUAAUGCUGUCAAGUUGUCCUGUACCUACUCGGGCUUUUCUUCUCCCCGUGUGGAGUGGAAGUUUGAUCAUGGAGAUACCACCAGACUUGUUUGCUAUAACAGCAAGAUCACAGCUUCCUAUGAGAACCGAGUGACCUUCUCAUCAAGUGGUAUCACCUUCAAAUCCGUAACACGGGAAGACACCGGGACAUACACUUGUAUGGUCUCUGAGGAAGGCGGCAACAGCUAUGGGGAGGUCAAGGUCAAGCUCAUCGUGCUUGUGCCUCCAUCCAAGCCUACAGUUAGCAUCCCCUCCUCUGCCACCAUUGGGAACCGAGCAGUGCUGACAUGCUCAGAACAAGAUGGUUCCCCACCGUCUAAAUACACCUGGUACAGAGAUGGCAUAGAGAUGCCUGCCAAUCCCAAGACCAGCCGUGCCUUCAGCAACUCUUCCUAUAACCUUAAUCCCACGACAGGAGAGCUGGUCUUUGAUCCCGUGUCAGCCUCUGAUACUGGAGAAUACAGUUGUCAGGCAGAGAAUGGGUUUGGGACAGCAGUGAAAUCAAAUGCUGUGCGCAUGGAAGCUGUGGAGCUGAAUGUGGGGGCCAUCGUGGCAGCUGUCCUUGUAACCCUGAUUCUCCUGGGAAUCUUGAUUUUUGGCAUCUGGUUUGCCUAUAGCCGAGGCUACUUUCACAGAGCAAAGAAAGGGUGAGUGAGGUGCUGACCUGGGGUUCUCCGAGUUUGAGAGCAUGGAUGCAUGUGGUUUGAAGCUGAGGACUUCGAGUAAGAAGGUGAUUUACAGCCAGCCUAGUGCUCGAAGUGAAGGGGAAUUCAAACAGACCUCGUCGUUCCUGGUGUGAGCCUGCUCGGGCUCUCCGUCUGUCAUCUGCACUUGCCUUACUCAGGUGCUACCAGACUCUGGCCCCUGAGGUCUAUAGAUUCACAGGAUGCCUUAUUUGUCUUCUACACCCCACAGGGCCCCCCACUUCUUAGGAUGUAUUUUUAAUAAUGUCAGCUAUGUGCCCUUCCUCCUUCAUGCACUCCCUGCCUUUCCUACGACUGCUGAGUGGCCUGGAACUUGUUUAAAGUGUUUAUUCCCCAUUUCUAUGAGGGAUCAGGCAGGAAUCCUGGGUAUGCUAUUGAUGUCCCUUCUAAGUAGACAGCAAAAAUGGCGUGGCUCCCAGGAAUCUACACUCAACUGACCACCUGGCCUGCAGGAGCCUUUGAAUAGGGAUCUUCAACCUGGUUCUGGGCUCUUUCCUCAUUUCCAGUGCCAGCUGUUCUAGAGCGGGGGCAGAGGCUAGAAUGGCUGAAAUGGUUGUUUGGUGAUGACACUGGGGUCCCUCCAUCUCUGGGGUCCAUUCUCUUCUGGCUUCCCAUGGGAAGUGCUGCUGGAAUCCCUCCGCCCAGUCCUCCUCCUGAAUACAAGCAGACAGAUACUGACUGUCCAUGGAAAAUGGGAGCUCUUGUUGUGGAGAGCAUAGUAAAUUUUCAGAGAAUGUAGAAUGUGAAGCGAAAAAGGUUUAAAACCACUGCUCUAAAGAAAAGAAAGUUGGAGGCCGGGCAAGGUGGCUCAAGCGUGUAAUCCUCGGCACUUUGGGAGGCCAAGGCAGGCGGAUCACCUGAGGUCAGGAGUUUGAGAGCAGCCUGAUCAACAUGAAGAAAUUCCGUCUCUACUAAAAAUACAAAAUUAGCCGGGCAUGGUGGCGCAUGCCUGUAAUCCCAGCUACUCAGGAGGCUGAGGCAGGAGAAUUGCUUGAACCUGGGACAUGGAGGUUGUGGUGAACCGAGAUCUUGCCAUUGCACUCCAGCCUGGGCAACAAGAGUGAAACUUUGUCUCCCCCCAAAAAAAAAAAAAAGCUGGAGCUAGUGGGUCAGGCCAUCACCCUUCCCUUGACUGGAACUCCUGGACAGACCCUUUUGAGAUGUGCCUGUGAUGCUGUGGAGAUGUCUGUAGUGGUCUUAGCUGUUUGCUGAAAUUGAGUGUGUGCUGGAGGGCUUCUUAGCUCUUUGGUGAGAUUGUAUUUCUAUGUGUUUGUAUCAGCUGGAUGUUGCUGGAAAUAAAAGCUUGAUUUGUCAAGGCUGCUUUUUGUAGGAAGUAAGUAGGGGAAAAGGUCUUUGAGGGUUCCUGGGCUCCUGUGUACAACAGGAAAAUGCUUCAAAGCCGUGCUUCCCAGCAACCUGGGGCUGGUUCCCUGUGCCUGGUCCUGCCCCUUCCUGGUUCUUAUCUCAAGGCAGAGCUUCUGAAUUUCAGGCCCUCAUUCCAGAGCCCUCUUGUGGCCAGGCCUUCCUCUGCUGGAGGAAGGUGCCCAGGGUGAAGCUGAUGCUGUACUUGUGGGAUCUUCUUGGCCUGUUCCACCAAGUGACAGGAGAAAGUACUCACCCUUCUACCUCCUGCCCAGCCAGGUGCAUUGACAGACCUCCCUACGGCUCUAGGAACAACUGUCCCAGAGCUGAGGCGGGGAUUUCUCAGGUCAUUUGGAGAACAGCUGCUUUAGUAGUGGUUGAAAGUAGUAACCGCUGCUAUAUUUAGUGGGGUGGAGUUCAGAAGAAAUUUGGGUGGUCUGCAUGUGAAUGAACAGGAACGAGCAGGACAGGACUGGCUGUCAUUGCUUUCCUCCUCCCCAUUUGGACCCUUUUCUGCCUUUACAUUUUUGUUUCUCUGUCUACUACCAUUCCCCCAGUCUAUUUAUUAACUUAGCAAGAGGGCAAAUAAAGGGCCCUCUUGGGUGAUUUUGCUUCUUUAUUUCUGUGGAGGAUACUAAGUGCCACUUUGCCCUAUCCUGUCUGGAAAUCCCUAACAGAAUUGAGUUUUUUAUUAAGGAUCCAAAAAGAAAAAAUACUAAUGUGAAGCUGUCAGUUAAGGGUCACAUGCUAAUAAAAAAUAAAUUUUCCAGAGGAAAUGAAAUCUGACUAGACAAAGUAGAGCUUAUGAAAUGGUUCAGUAAGGAUGAGAUUUUUUUUUUAAAUUUUUUGAGAUGGAGUUUCACUCUGUCUCCUAGGCUGGAGUGCAGUGGCACAAUCUCGGCUCACUGCAACCUCUGCCUCCCGGGUUCAAGUGAUUCUCCUGCCUCAGUCUCCUGGGUAGCUGGGAUGACAGGCGAGUGUCACCAUGCCCAGCUAAUUUGUAUUUUUAGUGGAGAUGGAGUUUCACCAUGUUGGUCAGGCUGGUCUAGAAUUCCUGACAUGAUCUGCCUGCCUCAGCCUCCCAAAGUGCUGGAAUUACAGGUGUGAGCCACUGCGCCCGGCCAAGGAUGAAUUUUUUAAAGUAUGUUUCAGUACUGUAUCAUGGUUGGAGUAAGAGGGAUAUGGAGAAAAGGCCAUGGGGAGGCAGAGGUGAUUCAUGGCUCCUGUGAAUUUGAGAUGAAUGGUUCCUUAUUGUCUAGGCUACUUGUGAAGAAUAUGAGUCAGUUAUUACCAGCCUUGGAAUUUACCUCUCUAACUUCCAACAGACCUUUUGAACUGGAAAACACCUUGUCUGCUUUCACUUUAAAAUGUCAAAACUAAUUUUUGUAAUAAAUGUUUAUUUUUCACAUUGA